UUUAAUUCUCCUUAAUUCCAGAACUUUCUUCUUUCUCUUCCAUUUCUCUUGCAUCCGUCCAGAUUCUUCCCCUCCUCUUUCUUCUGUCUCUUUCCCUUUCUCUCACUGCUCAUUUCUUCUUCUUCCUCUAUUCUUUUUUUACUCUCACUUGAACUACAAUGGUAGAGGAUGUGUGUUUCCUCUACAAGAGAAGGUGGAAGAACACAUUAAAGCUGCGAUUUUUAUCUCAAAAAAUCCAAGAGUACAGAGAAGGUGGAAGAACACAUUAGAGCUGCGAUUUUUAUCUCAAAAAAUCCAAGAGUACAGACUACAGUAACAACGGCGGUGCUGAAGGUCAGGACGGUGUUGAAUAAUAAAGGUGUCAUUUUGAACUAUUUUCCCCCUUUUUUGGGGCUGUUAUUUGUCUCUAUUUACAAGGUUUUAAUUUUGUUUGUUGUUAUACAUGUUUUCUUUUUAAUAAUAUUUAUUUUUUGUUACUAAUUUUUCAACUGUGUUUUUGGUUCCUUUUUAUUUUCCCGGGCUAUCGACGAAGAAGCAUUCAGCAGACAAGUUGUUUUUAUUUGGAAGGUUUUAAUUUUGUUUGUUGUUAUGCAUGUUUUUUUUAAUAAUAGUUAUUUUUUCUUACUGAUUUUAUAACUCUGUUUUUGGUUUUUUUAUUUAUUUUCUUGGGCUAUCGACGAAAAAGCAUCAUGCAGGCAAGUUUUUUUCCCUUUUGUUGUUAUGCAUGUUUGUUUUUGGUACUAUUUGUCUCUAUUUGCAAUGUUUUAAUUUUGUUUGUUGUUAUGCAUGUUUCCUUCUUAAUAAUAGUUACUUUUUCUUACUGAUUUUUACAACUCUGUUUUUUGUUCCUUUUUAUUUUCCCGGACUAUCGCGAAGAAGCAUCCACC